rnacentral:rRNA from 1 species
UACGUAGGCAGCAAGCGUUGUUCGGAGUUACUGGGCGUAAAGGGUGUGUAGGCGGUUGGAUAAGUGUGGUGUGAAAUCUCCCGGCUUAACUGGGAGGGUGCGCUACAAACUGUCUGACUAGAGUGUGGGAUGGGUAAGUGGAAUUCCUGGUGUAGCGGUGAAAUGCGCAGAUAUCAGGAGGAACACCGGUGGCGAAGGCGGCACUCUGGGCCGGUACUGACGCUGAGGAGCGAAAGCGUGGGGAGCGAACAGG